rnacentral:lncRNA from 1 species
CACUCACUGUCCCACCCACCUGUGUGUCCCACGCCCCAGGUCUCUCCCCCAUGGGUGCCCAGUUACCCCAAGAUGUCUACAAGCCUUAGGGGAAGAGAGGGAGGUUUGUAGACUGGCUCCCGGGGGACCUGCCCUGGGCAGGGUCAGCCAGACUAACAGGCUUCAUCCUUCCAUCUGCCCCAGCCCCAGGCCGCCGCGGCCCCGCAGCGCUGGUCUCCGAAGUCUUCGAGCAGCACCUGGGAGGUCACAUCUUGCAGUCCCUGGAUGGCUUUGUGUUCGCCUUGAACCAGGAAGGAAAAUUCCUCUACAUCUCAGAGACAGUCUCCAUCUAUCUGGGUCUCUCACAGGUGGAGAUGACGGGCAGCAGCGUCUUCGACUACAUUCACCCUGGGGACCACUCAGAGGUGCUGGAGCAACUGGGGCUGCGGACGCCGACGCCCGGCCCCCCAACCCCGCCCUCCGUCUCCUCUUCCUCCUCCUCUUCCUCUUCGCUUGCAGAUACCCCCG